AUGUAUACACAAUGAUGUUUAAUUUGAAUCUAAUUAAGCACUCAGACUUAACUUCUGGUUAACAAGAUAUAUAGGGGAUAAAGAAACAAAUUAAACAGCACGAUGAGAAAGUAAUCAGAUAAAACCCAAACAUAGUACAUUACACAAAACAAAAAGUUUUAGGCUGUCCAAAGGACAAUAUUAUGAGAAAAAUAAAAAGAUGGUUGUGCAGGAGAAAUUUAAAGACAUUUAAGGAACAAGACAAUCUAAUGCAGUGUGUGAACUUAUCCAAGUUUAGGGUGACAUAUGUAGGCUAAAUGGGUUUGGAUAAUAGAGGACAUUAAGGAGUCACUGUUAGUUUUUCUAAAUUUGAUAAUGGCAUUUUGGUUUUCUAGAAAAAUGUAUUUUUUGGAGAUGCAUGCUGGAGUAUUCGAAAGUGCCAUGGCUAGAAUGUAUGUGUCCCUCAAAAUUCAUAUUUUGAGACUCAAGUUACAGUAUUAAAAGAUGGGGCCUUUAGAAUGAUUAAAUCAGGAGGGUUUUACUCCUCAUGAAUGAAUUAGUACCCUUAUAAAAAAGGGCUUGAGGGAAGUAGCUAUGCCCUAUUUGUUCUUCUAGCUCUUCUGCUGGGCGAGAUGAAAGCGUUCAUCUUCUCCGGAGAACACACGAAGUCCUCACCUUGCAAGCAGAGACCAGGCCCUCCCCAGACACUGAGCUUGGUGGCACUUGGAUUUUGGACUUCCAGCCUCCAAAAUUGUGAGAACCUAUUCAUUGACCUGCUCAAGUAACAUAUCUCUCCAGCCAAAUUUUAAGUAACCACCUUCCUUUAUUACUGUUAUGGAAAUAAAAUACUUUAAGAAACAGAAGCUUUGGGAGGCCAAAGUGGGCAGAUCAAUUGAGGUCAAGAGUUCAAGACCAGCCUAGCCAACAUGGUGAAACCAUGUCUCUGCUAAAAAUACAAAAAUUAGCCUGGCGUGGUGACUCAGCCCCUGUAAUCCCAGCUACUCUGGAGGCCUGGGCACGCAGGAGAAUCACUUGAACCUGGGAGGAAAAGGUUGCAGUAAGCUGAGAUCACACCACUGCUCUCCAGCCUGGGAAAC
rnacentral:lncRNA from 1 species